rnacentral:rRNA from 1 species
GACGAACGCUGGCGGCGUGCUUAACACAUGCAAGUCGAACGGAAAGGCCCUGCUUUUGUGGGGUGCUCGAGUGGCGCACGGGUGAGUAACACGUGAGUAACCUGCCCUUGACUUUGGGAUAACUUCAGGAAACUGGGGCUAAUACCGGAUAGGAGCUCCUGCUGCAUGGUGGGGGUUGGAAAGUUUCGGCGGUUGUGGAUGGACUGGCGGCUUAUCAGCUUGUUGGUGGGGUAGUGGCUUACCAAGGCUUUGACGGGUAGCCGGCCUGAGAGGGUGACCGGCCACAAUGGGACUGAGAUACGGAGCAGACUCCUACGGGAGGCAGCAGGGGGGAAUAUUGCACAAUGGGCGGAAGCCUGAUGCAGCAACGCCGCGUGCGGGAUGACGGCCUUCGGGGUGUAAACCGCUUUCGCCUGUGACGAAGCGUGAGUGACGGUAAUGGGUAAAGAAGCACCGGCUAACUACGUG